rnacentral:rRNA from 1 species
UACAGAGGGGGCAAGCGUUAUUCGGAAUUAUUGGGCGUAAAGGGCGCGUAGGCGGCUUUGCAAGUGACGGGUGAAAUCCCUCGGCUUAACCGAGGAACUGCCUGUCAAACUGCAUGGCUUGAGACCGGGAGAGGUGAGUGGAAUUCCCAGUGUAGCGGUGAAAUGCGUAGAUAUUGGGAGGAACACCAAUGGCGAAGGCAGCUCGCUGGGACGUUACUGACGCUGAGACGCGAAAGCGUGGGGAGCAAACAGG